rnacentral:rRNA from 1 species
CACGUAGGGAGCAAGCGUUGUCCGGAUUUAUCGGGCGUAAAGAGCUCGUAGGCUGUUCGAUAAGUCGGGUGUGAAACCUCCAGGCUCAACCUGGAGACGCCACCCGAUACUGUCAUGACUAGAGUCCGGUAGGGGAGCGUGGAAUUCCUGGUGUAGCGGUGAAAUGCGCAGAUAUCAGGAGGAACACCGGUGGCGAAGGCGGGUCUCUGGGCCGAUACUGACGCUGGAGGAGCGAAAGCGUGGGGAGCGAAACAGG